AGUGAACGCUGGCGGUAGGCCUAACACAUGCGAGUCGAACGGCAGCACAGUAAGAGCUUGCUCUUACGGGUGGCGAGUGGCGGACGGGUGAGGAAUACAUCGGAAUCUACUUUUUCGUGGGGGAUAACGUAGGGAAACUUACGCUAAUACCGCAUACGACCUACGGGUGAAAGCAGGGGAUCUUCGGACCUUGCGCGAUUGAAUGAGCCGAUGUCGGAUUAGCUAGUUGGCGGGGUAAAGGCCCACCAAGGCGACGAUCCGUAGCUGGUCUGAGAGGAUGAUCAGCCGCACUGGAACUGAGACACGGUCCAGACUCCUACGGGAGUCAGCAGUGGGGAAUAUUGGACAAUGGGCGCAAGCCUGAUCCAGCCAUACCGCGUGGGUGAAGAAGGCCUUCGGGUUGUAAAGCCCUUUUGUUGGGAAAGAAAAGCAGCAGGUUAAUACCCCGCUGUUCUGACGGUACCCAAAGAAUAAGCACCGGCUAACUUCGUG
rnacentral:rRNA from 1 species